UACGAAGGGGGCUAGCGUUGCUCGGAAUCACUGGGCGUAAAGGGUGCGUAGGCGGGUCUUUAAGUCAGGGGUGAAAUCCUGGAGCUCAACCCCAGAACUGCCUUUGAUACUGAGGAUCUUGAGUUCGGGAGAGGUGAGUGGAACUGCGAGUGUAGAGGUGAAAUUCGUAGAUAUUCGCAAGAACACCAGUGGCGAAGGCGGCUCACUGGCCCGAUACUGACGCUGAGGCACGAAAGCGUGGGGAGCAAACAGG
rnacentral:rRNA from 1 species